UACGUUUGAACUUUUCCAUUUUUGACCAUUGCAAAGAACUUGCAGUGUCUUUAAUAGGCAGUUACAUAGUGUCUGCAGCUCUGGAGUAUUUAGGGAUGGACAAACUGGAUUAUGUGCCAAUCAAACAUUUUAUACCAAGUUUGGAUGAAUUAUUAUAAGUGAAUAUGAGAAGAAGAUGUCUCUUGUGCAUUCAUUAGAAAAUUUCAUUGAUGCAUACAUUAUAAAAGAUUCAAAAGAUUUACUCCAGGAGCAAUCUUCUACUGUACAGUUUAUUCAAAUACAGGUACAAAUGCCAAAUGGAAGUCCAGUGAAUAUUCAGCUGCCUCUUUUGACAAAAUCUGAGCAUAUGCAAGCUUCACCAGAUCAUAUCAUGAACUAUGGACUUUGAAUCUUAGAACUAGGACUUGCAUUUAAAGGCCUUCAAAACAAUAUUAAAAUUCCGAAUAGAGUCGACAGGUUUAUACCACUCAUGAAGCACUUAAUGUAUAUUCUAAAGGGCCACAAUGAUAAUUCCAAGUAUGCACUUGAAAUUUUGCGCUUCUUGGUCCAGCAGCAGUGCACAUUUGAUGAGAAGACAGCUUACCAGUCUUUUUUAUGGUCUCUUUGUCAACAAUUAUAAAGAAAAGUUUGAUUCUUCAAUUCCUGCAGACCUACAGAUGGAACACAUUGUGAGACAAAUUAAAGGUCACUUGAAAGCUGUCCAUUCAAAUAAACAGACACUGCCAUUGCAAAGAGAACAGCUGCCUUUGCUGGCAUGAAAAACAUAUCAGCAUCUUUUGAUGAUUCCUCUGAUGUUAUUGUACGUUCUCAGAAGCACAAAAUUGUUUUUUCACACUCUGAUGAAUGCAUGAUUAUCAGUGACUUACAGAAGCUUAAACCUUUCCACUUUAAAGAUGGACGAAAGUUUCAAUCAUUUCCCAAACCUGUCCAGAGUCCCUUGAGUCAUCUCAAUAUGCAGAAAUUGAAGUCAUGGAUUCGUGAACACCAGUACAACCUUCACCAUGAAGUAAGAAAUUAAGAUCUGAGGAAGUCACAAAGGAAGUUAAUGCAGAUCUGAGAACAGACUUGUCUAUCUCCGAAUCCUUUUCAGCUGACUCAGAAGAGGGGCAAGAAUCCUCACAUACAUCACAACAAUUUUGAACAACAGCAGUAGAUUCUGUAAAUCCAAAGUGGGACUUAGAAAAAAACUCGCCUACAAAGUGUGUCAUUCCUGCAAUACUCCUUAAUUUCCUUUGAAAUGUUUAGACGCCCCAAGUCACUGCUAUUGAAGUACAAAAUGGCUUCACACUGCAUUUCACUGUUUCGUCCACCACGGCCAAUAUGCUAAAAUUUACCUUCCAGAUUUUGGGGAGGACAAGCAUGAAUCACCUGAGCUACAUAACGCAGGUCUACCCCUAUCCCUAGUGCUACUGUAGCAAUAACAACUUUCAGGGGACUCUCUAUGGGAUCCUUUGCCAAAUUCUUAAAUAUGAUAUCUUUGAGCUGAAAUUCAUUUAUUAUAAUUGAAAUGUAACAUGACUACCCUUAGAUUCUCUGCACAUUUGUGUCCAUCACCACCAUACAUACUGUCUCGAAGGAUUCUCUCGGCAAGUUCAAACCCGUAUCCCACCCAGUCCAUGCUGCCACAGCAGUAAAUCAGUGAACUGUGAGUCAUCAGUAGGUGCUGGGCAACAUUUUUCUGGCCAUCUUUUGACAAAGUAGCACUUAAUCCCAGCACUUGAGCAUCC